GGGCAUGUUAGAAAACCUGGAGAUCAGAUUAAAGGAGUUUCUACUGGCCAUGUGUGGGACAAUUUGUGCUUCAAAAUAAUGAAAAUAAUAUUUAGAAAGAUUUAUGAGUCCAUACUUAUAAAAAACAUGCAAACUAAUAACAGAGUAGUAUACUCUAUGUGUUAUUCAGUCUGUUACUACAACAUAGUACCUGAGAUAAUUCACUUAUAAAGAGAAAAGGUAUAUUUUGGUUUAAAGUUCUUGAGGUUCCCAUCCAUGAUUGAUAAAUCCUGUUGCUUUGGGCCAGCAACAAGGCAACAUAUCAUGGUAGAGCGAAACUGAUAACCUCUUCUGCUAGGAAGUAAAAAAAAAAAGGAAGAGCUCAGUGUCCCACAAAUCCAUUUAAAGGCACACCCACGGUGACCUAAGGAACUCCCAUAAUGCCCUGCCUCCUAAUGGUUUACUGCUCCUCCCAGUAGCUCCACCCUGGAGUCUAAGCCUUUAACACAUAUACUUUGGGGGACAUUGAGCAAGCAAACAAUAGCAGAUACCAACUAAAAAUGAAGGAUGAAUUAUGGUUGGAAAAUCACCAUUUUACAAUCACAAGAUAACAAGAAUCAUCAUUAGAUGCUGGAACCAAUAGGUGAAAAUUUGGUGAAGACCAGAAUAUUUACAGAGCCUUGGAAAACAUCUCCUCAUACAUUGUUUAGAAAUUACAAAGGAUAAAGCACUUUUUAACUACAAAGAACUUUACAAUGGAGUGACCUGAUAGAUGCUGCCUUAACUACUCAAGUAAUCAGAGAUCACCAGUAAUUGGACCAGCCAGGAUCAUGUGCUUUCUGACGUAAUACACCGAGAAGAACACAACAUCAUUUAUCUAGCAUUACUGUCCAAAAUGUAUAAUCUAAAUCUAAUUAUGAGGAAUUAUUAGACAGCCCUCAUAUUGAGGGAUUUUUACAAAGGAAAUUGCAUGUACAAUUUUCAAAGGUCAAUAUGGUGAAAGACAAGCAAAGGCUGAAUCUAGACGAGGCAAACAAAAAUUACUAUAAGGACAUUUUGUGAACAAGUAACUAAGUUAAAAUAUGUUCUCCUGUUACAUUAGAUAAUAGCAUUAUGUUAAUUUUAAAUUUCCCAAUUUUGAUUAUGGUACUUUGGUGAUAUAAGUGAAUGUCUCUGUUUUGGGGGGAAUGCACAUUGGGUAUUUAGAGGUAAUGGAACAUGGUAUCUGAGACUUAACUCUAAAACAAUUAAAAAAAUUAUACAUAGAAGAAAAAGAAGUAAGGAAGAAGAGGAAUGGUAGGAAAGAAUGAUAAAACAGCUGUGGCAAAAUGUUAAUUGUCUGGGUCAAGUCCAUUCAUUUUUUUUAUGGUAUGCAUAACAAUUCUCUGUAAGCUUAAAAUUAUUUAAAAACAAAAAGUGGAAAACAAGAAGUGAUAGUAUGCUGGAUGAAUUGCGCAUUGAGAACUAUUGUGUUUUAAAUUUUUUUGACACCCCUCACCCUGCCUUUGUCUAUUUUCUUCAAAGAAAGGUACUUAGGUAUCCUGAAUAGUGUUUGAAAAUCACUGCACCUAGUAAUCAUUCCUUCCAGCAAUGAAAAAAGGAGGAAGCAAAUAGGUUUACCUGUAAUAGUGAUUUUAUAUAAGGAAGGGGAUAUCUAUUAUUUCACUAGCUAUAAGAAGGAACUGUUGUCCUUUUAAGUAUUGCUAAUGUGUAGAUUUUGUUGAUAAAUAUUGAUAAUCAUUUUUUUUUUUUAAAAAGAGUAUCUGGUUCUGCAAUCUGUAUUUGGGGUAAAAUUGGGAGUUCAUAACCAACUUGAAUCUAAUGUAUGAAAUAUGAUAUGUCAAGAGCUUUAUAAUGUUUUGAACAACCAAUAAAAAAAAUAAAUUAAAAAAAAAAUUCACACACACACACACACACACAAAAAGAGUAUCUGGAAAAAUAUGGGGCAUUAGGGCCAAGUCUGUCUUUGGCCCACGGGCUCAGUGAAUUGUAAGGAAGGCUGCCUUUAUGUAGUUAGAAAGAAACUUAUAUAGGAAGAAGCAAUAAGUUUUACUUCUAUUUUAGGUCAAAGUAAAUAUGUAUGACUGAGAUGAGGCAUAAAGGGAGUGAAGUGUGGAAAUUAUGAUCAGUAUAAUUAUUUAAGUGUAUAACCCUGGUAGGGAUGGAUGCUAUCAUUGGAAUGACAAGGUUAUAGAGAUCUUUAAAGGUAGGAGGACAGGGCUGGGAUGUAGGUCAGUGGUAAAUCACUUUACCAAGUGUGUGUGAGACCCUGGAUUUUGUUGGUAGCACUACAAAAACAAAAUUAGAGGAUACAUAAUUAAAAAAAUGAUUUGGAAUAGACAAGACAGCAAAGGAGCGAUGUUAAAAUCAUUAUAUUUCAGGCCACUUUAAUAAUUGUAUUGUCUAGGUACUGGGGAAUAGGACCUAUGAUGUUAAAAAGAGAGGACCCCUAUUUGAGCCAGAUAUCAUUUCCCUGUAUUUUUUAGGGUUGACAGCAUAAUCACUAGUCCAUUUAGUAUUUCAAGAGCAACUCUGAAGGCCUAGAAAACAGUGUGGGAUUAUGAAAAUUAUGGAAUUACUAUAAGCCUGUAAAUAGCACAUAAGUUGUUUUAGAGAAUUUUAGUUUUUUUAAGGGAAACUAGAAUCCUAGUUGUUUCAGGGAAUUCUAGUUUUCUUAAAGGAAAACAAAAAAACAGAAACCAAACAAACAAAAAACAAC
rnacentral:lncRNA from 1 species